rnacentral:RNase_P_RNA from 1 species
GUGGAGGUGACUCUAAGGCUAGUGCAACAGAAAAGAAACCGCCAAUUUUACGCAAUUUUGCGUAAAAUUUGGUGAGGGUGGAAUGGCGGGGUAAGAGCCCACCGCUCGGCUGGUAACAGGCGAGGCUGUGUAAACCCCAUCCGAAGCAAGACCGAACAGGAAGCGAUACGGCGGCCCGUCGUGCUUCCGGGUUGGUCGCGUUCUGUCCGGGGAACCGGGCAGAGGAGCUGUGCGGUAACGUACAGUCAAGAAAGAUGAUCGUCAAAUACAGAACCCGGCUUAUAGUGCUGCUCCAUAA